rnacentral:tRNA from 1 species
GAGGUAUUAGUAUAAGCAAUACAUAACUUUGUCAAAGUUAAGAUAUAAACUAAUCUUUAUAUACCUCUU